GGUGCGGUACCCAAGUGGUUUAAGGGGACAGUCUGCAAAACUGUUAUUCGCGGGUUCGAAUCCCGCCCGCACCU
rnacentral:tRNA from 1 species